rnacentral:rRNA from 1 species
GUGCCAGCAGCCGCGGUAAUACAGAGGUCUCAAGCGUUGUUCGGAAUCACUGGGCGUAAAGGGUGCGUAGGCUGCACGGUAAGUCAGAUGUGAAAGCCCGGAGCUCAACUUCGGAAUUGCAUCCGAUACUGCCGUGCUUGAGGACUGGAGAGGAGAUUGGAAUUCACAGUGGAGCAGUGAAAUGCGUAGAUAUUGUGAGGAACACUAGUGGCGAAGGCGAAUCUCUGGACAGUUCCUGACGCUGAGGCACGAAGGCCAGGGGAGCAAACGGGAUUAGAUACCCCGGUAGUCCUGGCAGUAAACGGUGCACGCUUGGUGUGGCAGGAAUCGACCCCUGCCGUGCCGGAGCUAACGCGUUAAGCGUGCCGCCUGGGAAGUACGGUCGCAAGAUUAAAACUCAAAGAAAUUGGCGG